UUAUCGAAGAGUUUGAUCCUGGCUCAGGAUGAACGUUGGCGGCGCGCCUUAUACAUGCAAGUCGAGGGGGUUUAGACCCCCGGCGAACGGGUGAGUAACACGUAGGAACGUACCUCAAGUGGAGCAUAACCAGCCGAAAGGUUGGACAAUUCUCCAUAGUACCGAUGCUUCGCAUCGGAAAUUUCAAAAUCCAAACUUCAAACUCCAAAUAAACUUCAAUCGCCAAACUUCAAAUUCAGAAAUCUGAAUUUUGAGGCUUGAAUUUUGAUGAUUAUUUGAGGGUUGAGGGUUGAGGUUUGGAGUUUCCGCUGCGGAGCAGCGGUUAAAGUAGCAAUACGCUUGAGAAACGGCCUGCGUCCCAUCAGCUAGUUGGUAAGGUAAUGGCUUACCAAGGCUAUGACGG
rnacentral:ncRNA from 1 species